rnacentral:rRNA from 1 species
UUGAACGCUGGCGGCAGGCCUAACACAUGCAAGUCGCACGGUAGCACAGAGAGCUUGCUCUCGGGUGACGAGUGGCGGACGGGUGAGUAAUGUCUGGGAAACUGCCUGAUGGAGGGGGAUAACUACUGGAAACGGUAGCUAAUACCGCAUAACGUCGCAAGACCAAAGAGGGGGACCUUCGGGCCUCUUGCCAUCAGAUGUGCCCAGAUGGGAUUAGCUAGUAGGUGGGGUAACGGCUCACCUAGGCGACGAUCCCUAGCUGGUCUGAGAGGAUGACCAGCCACACUGGAACUGAGACACGGUCCAGACUCCUACGGGAGGCAGCAGUGGGGAAUAUUGCACAAUGGGCGCAAGCCUGAUGCAGCCAUGCCGCGUGUAUGAAGAAGGCCUUCGGGUUGUAAAGUACUUUCAGCGGGGAGGAAGGUGCUGAGGUUAAUAACCUCAGCAAUUGACGUUACCCGCAGAAGAAGCACCGGCUAACUCCGUG